rnacentral:rRNA from 1 species
AUUGAACGCUGGCGGCAGGCCUAACACAUGCAAGUCGAGCGGAUGAGUGGAGCUUGCUCCAUGAUUCAGCGGCGGACGGGUGAGUAAUGCCUAGGAAUCUGCCUGGUAGUGGGGGACAACGUUUCGAAAGGAACGCUAAUACCGCAUACGUCCUACGGGAGAAAGCAGGGAACCUUCGGGCCUUGCGCUAUCAGAUGAGCCUAGGUCGGAUUAGCUAGUUGGUGAGGUAAAGGCUCACCAAGGCGACGAUCCGUAACUGGUCUGGGAGGAUGAUCAGUCACACUGGAACUGAGACACGGUCCAGACUCCUACGGGAGGCAGCAGUGGGGAAUAUUGGACAAUGGGCGAAAGCCUGAUCCAGCCAUGCCGCGUGUGUGAAGAAGGUCUUCGGAUUGUAAGGCACUUUAAGUUGGGAAGAAGGGCAGUAAGUUAAUACCUUGCUGUUUUGACGUUACCGACAGAAUAAGCACCGGCUAACUUCGUGCCAGCCGCCGCGGUAACAC